UUUGAAAUUAUGAUGCUACCUGUCGCCGUAUUGAAAUAGGAAGACUAAUCUAGCCUUCUGAAAAUUUUCUCUCAAUGUUCUUUAAAUGCUAUGAUCAUAGAUGCCAGUUAAGUGUUGUUCAGGACAGUAAUGUGUUGUUCAGUUAAGUCUGGAUACUAUUUUUGUCAUCUUUUGGCAAUCAAUGUUAACAGUGAGGGAAACAGCUGUUUUUGCUUUUUUUGGAAGCACAUUUGAAACCUUUAUGGCAGAGAUAUGUGGUUUGAGGAGCAUUCUUCUCCUUUAAAAGAGAUAAAUUGUACAUUUAUUAAUUAAAAUUAUUUAUUCAUUAAGGUAUCUUAGCAUCUAUUUAUACUGCACAGUGUUUUUGGUGACUAUCAUGAUCAUUAAUAUAUUUUUCAGGUUUUGGAAGGUGAUCAAAAGCUUGAUCCACAGGAAGAAGUUAAAAUGAACAAAGAUGACAGCAGAUCAAAGAAGUCCCUCAAAGAUUUAAAUGAGGAGUUACUUUGUGGUAUCUGUCGAUCGUGAACUCAUGGUAUUGGUACACACUUAAAUGCCUUGCUCGCACACUUUCUGUUUUGGUUGUAUCAGGGACUCUGCAGGCUUUAAUUUGUCAUUCCAAAGACUGUCCAAAUUGUAGAGCAAAGGCUCAACUCUCAUCUGCUAUACCAGCUGUGAAGAAGAAGUUCUUUCUCCAGGAGAACUUGAAGAAAGGCAACUUAAAAUUCAGGUAAGCAGGGAUUUGAAACAAAAACCUUCAAUUU